rnacentral:rRNA from 1 species
GAUGAACGCUGGCGGCGUGCUUAACACAUGCAAGUCGAACGGAAAGGCUCCUGCUUGCAGGGGUACUCGAGUGGCGAACGGGUGAGUAACACGUGGGUGAUCUGCCCUGCACUUCGGGAUAAGCCUGGGAAACUGGGUCUAAUACCGGAUAGGACCACGGUUUGGAUGCCAGGGUGGAAAGUUUUUCGGUGGGGGAUGAGCUCGCGGCCUAUCAGCCUGUUGGUGGGGUAAUGGCCUACCAAGGCGUCGACGGGUAGCCGGCCUGAGAGGGUGGACGGCCACAUUGGGACUGAGAUACGGCCCAGACUCCUACGGGAGGCAGCAGUGGGGAAUAUUGCACAAUGGGCGGAAGCCUGAUGCAGCGACGCCGCGUGGGGGAUGACGGCCUUCGGGUUGUAAACUCCUUUCGCUAGGGACGAAGCGCAAGUGACGGUACCUGGUGAAGAAGCACCGGCUAACUACGUG